CCUACGGGGGGCAGCAGUGGGGAAUAUUGGACAAUGGGGGGAACCCUGAUCCAGCCAUGCCGCGUGUGUGAAGAAGGCCCUCGGGUUGUAAAGCACUUUCAGUGAGGAAGAACGCCUGGUGGUUAAUACCCAUCAGGAAAGACAUCACUCACAGAAGAAGCACCGGCUAACUCCGUGCCAGCAGCCGCGGUAAUACGGAGGGUGCGAGCGUUAAUCGGAAUUACUGGGCGUAAAGCGCGCGUAGGUGGCUUGAUAAGCCGGUUGUGAAAGCCCCGGGCUCAACCUGGGAACUGCAUCCGGAACUGGCAAGCUAGAGUGCAGGAGAGGAAGGUAGAAUUCCCGGUGUAGCGGUGAAAUGCGUAGAGAUCGGGAGGAAUACCAGUGGCGAAGGCGGCCUUCUGGACUGACACUGACACUGAGGUGCGAAAGCGUGGGUAGCAAACAGGAUUAGAUACCCUGGUAGUC
rnacentral:rRNA from 1 species